rnacentral:lncRNA from 1 species
UUUUUUUUUUUUUUUUUUUUUUUACCAAAAACUUUCAAAUCAUGUGGAGGGGUGUAUGUUUAGAUAAAGUUCUAGAAGAAUACAAAUCAUAGUGCAAUUAUCCCUGGAGAACAGGUGUACACACGCAAUUUCCUUUUUAGCUUUAUAUUCUUGAAUAUUGUUUAAAAUUUUCAGUGGAAUGAAUUGUUUUCUAAAUUCUUAAUCAAGACAAUUGAAGAAAAGAAAUAAGAUCCAAAGAAAUCUUAAGUAUAUCUCUGUCAUGGGUAUCAACCUACCAAGUUUUAAAGAUCCCUGAAAGACCAUCUUUACCAUAAAAUUUCAAGUUUACUUUACAGCUCCUCCUCUUGACGCUGGAAUAGAGAUAUAUGAUUUUACAUGCAAGGCUAGGAGUUUCAUUUCUGACCCUCUCCCAAUUAUUCUGUCCUAUUUAUUUCCAGAUGCCUUUACCCAUGGAGGUAAAUCUGACCUUUGGUGAAGGUCACCUGACAUAAACCAGUAUACACUCACUGGGCCAGUACGCUGGUAGCACCCAGAAACAGGAGUUGUACUAAGUUAAAGCAAGCCAUCCAGAAACCACAUCCUGAAGUCUGCUGUGAAUGGGUGAUCGCACAGCUCACCAGCCAGGGCUGUCAUUGCUUGGCCAUUAGCACUGAGGCCCAGGAAGCAGAGUCCUCUGGAAGAAGCAUCAGCCACACUCCAGGGCUUCUGUCAGCUGACCAUUGCAAGGACAACAAAUUAGACUUGCUCUUCUUUGAUGGCAGAGGAACCACCUUCCAGAACCAGUGUGAAGCUCACCCAAGAGCCUGUGUGUCACAGUUUUGUGAAUGCCCAAGUGUUCUGACAUAGGGAGUCUAUACUACUCACCUUACUAAUACUCCCAACAGAUUUUUUGUUUUCCUGACUUCCACUCUCCUGGCCAAGUCUCUGCUGGGUGGAUACCACACUGGGCUGACAGAAGGCAUUUGUUAGUCUUUGUAGACUGUUUAUUUCUGAUAAAGGUAAUUCAUGACAACACCUGUAUGGAUACUGCCCGGUGGUGUGUUGGUAAAUGUUUAACAACCAGCUUUCCUGGACAAACUACCCCUAGGCUAGUAAUAUUUAUCAAUUUCCUUAGCGUAAUGGCAACUUCCAAGACUGAGGUCAAGAUACCAACAAAAUGUCACUGAAUAUUGGGAACACACGCACAUACUAGCAUUACUAUUUCUAUCUUAAGAGCAGAGUUAUUUAAUCAUAAAUGCACAUAGUUUAGCAUCUAAAAAUGGCUGAGUUUAAGAAUGGCCUCACAAAAUUCCUGAAAAUUUAGCAACUGGCUCAUGCAAGCCAGUACAAACUGGCUCCAGCACACCCCGAGAUUCCCACAGUGCAAGAUGUUACAGAUAUUCUUUUGCCUGGAAAAGUCACAGUCAUUUAUUUCCUUAACAGAUACUCAGAUCUCCCUAUGUUUUGGACAACCCAUGUGCCUGUCUAUAUGUUGACAGGCAGGGCCUAUGUUGACGCAGAUGUCCGGAUUCACAGCUCCUUGGGCUUGGUGUCGGGGCUGGACAGCGCAGUAGAUAAGGAAAGUCAUGGACACCAGAGUCAAAUAAACCAGUACCAUUCUGCAUUAAUGUACCAUUUAGUAAUUCCUUAACUGUUAAUUUAAUGAUUUAAUAAAUAUUGCCUAUGUUAUAUUAAAAAAAGAGAUAAAACAGGUAGAGAAUAUUCUUAAAACAGAUGUGAUGUUUAAGGACAUCUGUACAACACUCAGCAUUUGAGAGGAGCUUAGUACGUAUCAGCACCCUUUCUCUUGAACGAGCACCUCCACAGAUCCCAGGUAAUCGAUUGGGGCUAUUUAAAGAGGCCUGCAGAGCCAGGCAGUGUCAGGACACGGCAGGCUGAACCUGACUCCUUUUCUUUUUACCUGAUUUGGAAAUCAGGUUGGGAGCAACCCUGACUUUGUCAUUCCGGUGCCUGGCAACAGUCUGCCGUUUAAUCUCCUAGGCGAGCUGCCCUUGUGUGGCAGGUUCUACAGACAAAACUGUCCUGGGUCUGUGGUGAUAAUAUUCCUCUGGGUCACUCAGGUUGGAUGGAUAAUCAGUUGCCUUCAUUCUUGGGAACCAUCCCAGCCUCCCAAGGCUCUGCAGCCACACGAGCUUACCCAGGGUGCUAGGCCUCUCCAAGGUGAGCCUCAACAGAGUUUGUAAAAAGGUUUUCAACAGGAAAACUAUGUAUAACAGCAAUUUGAACUCUUCUCUAGUUAACUGAUCAAAUCACAUGCUUUGUACAUGCGAAUGGAUUUUUUGGGAACAUCAAAAAUUUAUUUUAAAAUAUCCUUCAGAAAAUAUGGAGGUGAAUUUACCAAAAAAUUGUCUAGGGUACAAGAAUUACAAGAGUGCUCAGUUUCC